UACGGAAGGCAGCAGUGGGGAAUAUUGCACAAUGGGCGAAAGCCUGAUGCAGCUAUGCCGCGUGUAUGAAGAAGGCCUUAGGGUUGUAAAGUACUUUCAUCGGGGAGGAAAAAACAAAACUAAUAAUUUUAUUUCUUGACGUUACCCGAAAAAGAAGCACCGGCUAACUCCGUGCCAGCAGCCGCGGUAAUACGGAGGGUGCUAGCGUUAAUCAGAAUUACUGGGCGUAAAGAGCACGUAGGUGGUUUUUUUAAAGUCAGAUGUGAAUCCCUGGGCUUAACCUAGGAAACUGCAUUUUGAAACUGAAAUACUAGAGUAUCGUAGAGGGAGGUAGAAUUCUAGGUGUAGCGGUGAAAUGCGUAGAUAUCUGGAGGAAUACCUGUGGCGAAAGCGGCCUCCUAAACGAAUACUGACACUGAGGUGCGAAAAGCGUGGGGAGCAAAACAGGGAUUAGAUACC
rnacentral:rRNA from 1 species